ACGGGUGAGUAAUGCAUCGGGACCUACCCAGACGUGGGGGAUAACGUAGGGAAACUUACGCUAAUACCGCAUACGUCCUACGGGAGAAAGCGGGGGACCUUCGGGCCUCGCGCGUUUGGACGGACCGAUGUUCGAUUAGCUAGUUGGUAAGGUAAUGGCUUACCAAGGCGACGAUCGAUAGCUGGUCUGAGAGGAUGAUCAGCCACACUGGGACUGAGACACGGUCCAGACUCCUACGGGAGGCAGCAGUGGGGAAUAUUGGACAAUGGGCGCAAGCCUGAUCCAGCAAUGCCGCGUGUGUGAAGAAGGCCUUCGGGUUGUAAAGCACUUUUAUCGGGAACGAAAUACCACGGGUUAAUAACCUAUGGGGCUGACGGUACCCGAGGAAUAAGCACCGGCUAACUUCGUGCCAGCAGCCGCGGUAAUACGAAGGGUGCAAGCGUUAAUCGGAAUUACUGGGCGUAAAGGGUGCGUAGGCGGUUAGUUAAGUCUGUCGUGAAAUCCCCGGGCUCAACCUGGGAAUGGCGAUGGAUACUGGCUGGCUAGAGUGUGUCAGAGGAUGGUGGAAUUUCCGGUGUAGCGGUGAAAUGCGUAGAGAUCGGAAGGAACAUCAGUGGCGAAAGGCGGCCAUCUGGG
rnacentral:rRNA from 1 species